UUGUCUUGUCAAUGUGUCUUCUGUCAGUGUAAUCUGCAUGACCCUUGCCAGUGAACCUUAGACAGUUCCUGAAUUGGCAUAACCUAGAUUGGUUGAUUCCAAAAAAUGCAACCGAUCAAACCUUGACCUAAUCGCCAUCCUGGGGAAAGAAGUGGUGUUUUCCUUUGGAGGGACCUCUCUCAAGAGCAAAGACUGGAAGAAGCGAAGAGGAUGUGUAUUUACAUGCUAUCGUCUUUAUGGAUCUCUUAAUCCUUUGUCUACAGUACUGACUACAUCAAGUAUAAGGUGACAUGUGAUCUCACUCUGUCACUAUAGAGAAGGGAAAAGGAUUGAGGCAAGGAGAACUGAUGCGAUUAUUACUGUAAGUACAAUUGUUUGUCCUUAUCUCAGAUACCUUGUAUCUACUCUCAGAUCAUAUGAAUAAAUGCAGUUAUUAAGACAGGACAAUAUUUAUAAGAUAUUCUAUGUUGAUGAAUAAACUACAGCAUCCACUGGCGUAGAAAGCUUUGUAGUUUAUUAUGGCUUUCCCAGUAUAUGGUAGGUUCCAUGCAGUGCUUAUGACAUGUUUAUUGAUUACUUGUUGUGCAAGUAACUGAAUUGCCUCAGUGCCUGAUGAAUUGCUAAGGCCGUUCAGUAGAGCAUAAGGGCUGGUAUAAUAAUUCCAAGUGUCUGGUAACACAGAAAGUAGGUGGGAUUUUCCUGUAACAGUCUCCUGAAAAACUCUGACAAUCUCCAGAUGGUGGGACUAGCACAAUUAUGAUGAAUUCGGUGUCACUGUGCCUCUCUGCUGCGGACUACUGAGUGCCUUGAUUCCCCAUCCCAGCUCUGCUUGGAUAGAUGCAGCUCACUUUGUUUCUUUGUGGCUCAGUUUCCUAUCAGGAACAUUCUCACAUUAGUCACAGAGAAUAUGAGAAUGAAAGGAGUCCAUUCAUAAAAGAGGGUUCAUAUAGUAAAAUGAGUUAAUGAAUAUAUUUAAAAAUACCCAACAUCAAAUGAAUUCUAUAGGAUUUUAACUUGUUUUUUAAUUUUAAAUGAGUUCAGAGACAGAAAAAAGGUCCAGUGAAACCAAUGUCUAUUCUAAUAUUCUAAUGAAAGAGAUAUUUAUGACAGAUACAAUUAAAAAUCAAACCAAUUAUACUGCCUUUGGUUAACAAAUUGUUUCUUCAAGUUCAGUAACAAGUUCCACCCUUAAAUAAUUUUACUCCAGUUGAUGGUAAAUGGACAUCCUAACUGGAGCUCUUUGGAUUGAAAAAAUGUCAGAAUAACAUCUGACUCUGCAUAGGAUGCAAGAUAAGAUUUUAAUUACAGAUAUGGUUAACCUUACCCUCUUUGAGAUGUAAAACAAAUAGGUGGGACUGAUAAUCAUAUUACGGAGCUUUUGUUCGAUCAUAGAGCAGAAUGGUUUGUAGGGUCACUUUUUUGAAUGUCAUUCUAAAUACUUUAAUUCUAUAACCUGAACAGCCAUUUCGAAGAUGACAAUCCGUAACUUAUCAACUGGCAAUUUCUUACCUUUUGUUUGUCUGUAAUUUUGUAUUAUUUCUACCCUUUUUUUUUUAUCUCCAUGUAUUUUUUUUCUUUUCGUUUCCUUUUCUUUAAAUAAAAAAAAAAAAAGAUUUUAAUUACAAAGAACCAUUGCCAGACAAUUUAAGAAAAAGAAAUAAGAAGACAUUUUCUACUGACCAACAAACAGCCAGUGUACUAUUUUCAAAAGCUUUUAAAAGCCCAUGUUUUGUGCAUGUUUUUAUUGUCAUUUGGAGAUCUGCUUUCACACUAUGAAUCAUGAUGUUUAGAAGAGGAAGACAACUAACUAGGGAACAACUGAAGCCUAAUUGAUAUGCUCACAGCUUAAGCCUCUUUUCUUGCGUUUGACAGUCAUGGAAAGUGGGUUAUCAGGCCAGUGUCUUUGUGACUAAUUAUGAUGUGCAGUAUUGGCUACCACUGGUAUUCAGGAAGGUUCACUCCCAUACAGAGGGAUCUAAAAAUGUUAACAGAAAGCAUUAGGUAACACAUGGCGCCACUACCCACCCAGCUUUUGGUUGGGUGGCAUUACUAAAGAGGCCAACGUCCUGGCCUGAUCCUUGACUGGCCAGGUUUCAACAGUUUCAGAUCACAGACUAUUCUUUGACCUCUGAAUGAAACUUCAGGACCUUAAUGAGGCAAUAGGAAAAUUAGAGUAAAGUUUUUAUUAUCAUGAGUGCAUUACAUGCUCACACUUUAUGACCUCAUAUCUGUAUGACUUGUCAUGUAUUUAUGUCUUGCUUCUUUAAAUUUUUAGUAAUCCUCUAAAUUUUUGUGGUAAAAGAUCUAGUAUUAAGACUGAAAUAUAAGGCCCAAUUUAGUCAUGCAUUUGUACUACAGCUGCGAUCCAUCUGAAAAUCAAUGUGGAUCCUUCAAUGAUUGACAAGAAGAGUUAAGUCAUUAAAAACAUUAAGAUGAGUGGUUUUGGUUUUAGAUCAAUAGAAUAUUCUGUUCAUUUAAGACUUGUUUCAUUGUUUUUCUCUGUUUUCCUUGUUCAUCAAAAUAUAUUAACCAUGAAAUAUUUUUUAAAAUAUACAUUAAAAGGUCUAAUGGCAUUUGCUUUAUCUUGGUAGAUAUAACUCACUAAUAAAGACAAAUUGGAUUACUACAUUUUAUAAUGAUUUAUAACAUUUAAAUAUUAGGCUUAGGAAUUAUGUGAAAAGUGUUGUGAUGAUCCUGAUCAUGUGAGAAUUUAUAAGAGGUGGAGGUGCCCAGUGUUUAAAAGAUAACAUACUGGAUUCAGGUCAAUAAUGGAAAACAGAUAUUGUAAGGCUGGUAAUGUGGGUUGGAUUGUAAAAAGCUACAAAUAUCAUCCUCUUAAGUUUGGGAAGCCAGUAAAGGAUUUCAAAUUUGGAAGUGAUAUUAUGAAAAGUCUGUUUUUGAAGAAUUAAUCUGGUAGUUACUAUUAAGAUAGAAUGAAGAGAGGUUAGAAUUGUGGUAUUCAUAAGCAAUUACUUGUAAUAUAGAUUCAAAGACUUUAGAAGUCAGGAGUGCUUCUUCAUACAGUAAGACUUCAUUUAAUUAGGAGAGAGAAUUUUGGACUUUAGAGAAAAUUAUCUAGAAUUCAGUAUAAGAUUUUUGUUUUUUUUAAUUUAUUACUUUGUUAAUAUUAAGAAGAAAAGAUAAAACAAAUUUUCACAACAAAAUAAUGAAAAAGUAACAACUGUUGAUAAAUUACACAUUAUCUUUAGUCACUCAAGUACAAAAUAUGGGCAUAAAAAUUUCUUCAAUCAAUAUUAGCACAACCUUUCCUAUUCAGUGAACUAAGUGACACUAAUGGUAUAACUAACUUGCAAUUUGAUGCUUGUAGAGUUUGGUGUUUCACUGACCUUGCAGGUCUAGGGCCAGUGAUCUGAUCAUUUAUUCAGAGGAUAACGAUACACAGUAUGGCAUCUAGAGAAGAUCUUCUGAAUGUGGUAGCCAUUGUUAAUUCUCUAUUAUCUUGUUUUGAAACCCUGUGUCAUUUUCAUUGUUUUGUCAGGUUGAGUUUUGCUCUGUUUGAUUUUGUUAUAUCCAAUGACAUGAGCAGCUAUUUCAAAAUAGCAAGAUACAUUAUGGUAGCCAUUUUGGAUUUACUGUUGUCUUGUUUUGAAGUCCUUUAUUGCAUUCAUUGUUUUGUUUUGAUUGGUUUAUCUUGUUCUGUUUGGUUUUCACUAUGUCUGCAGGUAUCUGCAGCUAUUUUGAAGACAAUAAGAGGCAUCAGGUAACUACUGUUGAUUUUGUAUUGUUUUGAAGUCCUGUAUCACUUACACUAGUUUGUUUUGAUUGGUUUUAUUCAGUUUUGUUUCCUUUGAUCUUAUACUCUUUAAAAUAAAAGAAAAAUAAGAUAGUUGCUUCAAUAGUUUUAUAAGGCUAUGCAAAUUUUAUAGAUUAAUUAAUAUUGAAUGUGCCACCAGGAAAUUCUUUAACUUAUUAUUCAUUGUACUUCAAGAUAAGUGAAGAAUUGAAAGACCAUGAGUUAAUACUAAAAAUAUUUAUUAUAAAAAUUAUCUCAUUUCUCUGUACAUAACUGAAAGACAAGAACAGAAGUCAUACAUUAAUAAUUUAAGUGGGUCUGAGCACUUAGUAACCAUUCAUUAGAAUUCAAAGGGUCUUUUAUCUAGUCCACAAAUACCAAAGUAGACAUUUUGUUUAUUUACAUAGUUGAUGAACAUGAAUUGCUAACUUUUCUUUUUUAUUCACGAUUUAAUAUUUUAAAGAUAGUUUGCAGUGUUUAGGUCAAUUAAUUAACUGCUCUAAAACUUUGGUAACUACAAAUAUUUACAUACAAAAAUAUUUUGCUCAAAUUUCAUUCAAAAACCAAAGCAAGAGACAAACAGCUUUGUGUAAUCACCAAGUGCACAAGUCAAAGUCCCACCAUCAAGAAAAGUCACUGUUGAGGACUUCUGAAUAUCUGAAAUUCACAACAAAGGGUUGAGGUCUCUAUUGCCACAACCAGAAGCACCAUAACUCUAAGACCUAGCAUCUAGGUCAUCACAAAAUUAAACACAGAUGUUAAAUUCAACAUACAAACAAAUGCUGAACAAUGCAGAAAAUUCUAAGUUUCUUCCUGUGUGUCAGUUUAGAUGUAAUUUGACACAGAUGAACCCAUUCUCUCAUCAUAAGUCUAUUCUCUUAUAAGUGUGGAAGCCAUUAAAGGAAGGCAUACUGCUUUGAAAGACACCAAUCCAUCCUCUUGUCCAUGGUUCAUUCAUAUAAAUACAAAUCAAUCCUUGGAAUAAUUUGUGGGGGAGAUAGAUAGAUGCCUGCCUUUUGAUUUCCUCCUUUUCUCUUUCCCUUGUGUCUUUAAGUUCUUUAUUCACUUCUUAUCUGAGAACAAUUUGGACACGAAUAGUCUGAAGACCUGCAUGGUCUACUUCAAUUCUCCAAAGUACCAUUUGCAUGUCAGCUUUCAUUCCUGACCUCUCAGCCUCAGCUAUUCUCAGAUGAAAGCAUUGUGGGCAUGAGAACUUUUUCUUCCCAGGCUAUCUGACUUUUAAAAAUGCUCAAA